GACGAACGCUGGCGGCGUGCCUAACACAUGCAAGUCGAACGGGGUAACUCCUUCGGGGGUUACUUAGUGGCGAACGGGUGAGUAACGCGUGAGGAACCUGCCUCUCAGUGGGGGACAACAGUUGGAAACGACUGCUAAUACCGCAUAAUGUAGCGAGACCGCAUGAUCUUGCUACCAAAGCUUUAUGUGCUGAGAGAUGGCCUCGCAUCUGAUUAGCUAGUUGGUGAGGUAACGGCUCACCAAGGCGACGAUCAGUAGCCGGUCUGAGAGGAUGAACGGCCACAUUGGAACUGAGAUACGGCCCAGACUCCUACGGGAGGCAGCAGUGGGGAAUAUUGGGCAAUGGGGGAAACCCUGACCCAGCAACGCCGCGUGAAGGAAGAAGGCCCUCGGGUUGUAAACUUCUUUUACCAGGGACGAAGAACGUGACGGUACCUGGAGAAAAAGCCACGGCUAACUACGUGCCAGCCGCCGCGGUAAUAC
rnacentral:rRNA from 1 species